rnacentral:rRNA from 1 species
GAAAAAGUGAGUAACACGUGGGCAAUCUGCCCUUCACUCUGGGACAAGCCCUGGAAACGGGGUCUAAUACCGGAUACGACACACGACCGCAUGGUCUGUGUGUNNAAAGCUCCGGCGGUGAAGGAUGAGCCCGCGGCCUAUCAGCUUGUUGGUGGGGUGAUGGCCUACCAAGGCGACGACGGGUAGCCGGCCUGAGAGGGCGACCGGCCACACUGGGACUGAGACACGGCCCAGACUCCUACGGGAGGCAGCAGUGGGGAAUAUUGCACAAUGGGCGAAAGCCUGAUGCAGCGACGCCGCGUGAGGGAUGACGGCCUUCGGGUUGUAAACCUCUUUCAGCAGGGAAGAAGCGAAAGUGACGGUACCUGCAGAAGAAGCGCCGGCUAACUACGUGCCAGCAGCCGCGGUAAUACGUAGGGCGCAAGCGUUGUCCGGAAUUAUUGGGCGUAAAGAGCUCGUAGGCGGCUUGUCACGUCGGAUGUGAAAGCCCGGGGCUUAACCCCGGGUCUGCAUUCGAUACGGGCAGGCUAGAGUUCGGUAGGGGAGAUCGGAAUUCCUGGUGUAGCGGUGAAAUGCNCAGAUAUCANGANNAACACCGGUGGCGAANGCGGAUCUCUGGGGCNNUACUGACNCUGAGNANCNAAG